CUUUGAUUUAUUAUAGCCAUGAAAUGCUCUGCUCUCUUCUCUUUUCCUUGCUGUCCCCCGAGGUUGGAGGAACACAGGCCUCCUCAGUCCCUGGGCCUCAGCCUCACUGGACUACCAUCACUUUCCAAGGGCAGGGCACGGGGACCAGGAAUGAGAGCAAAAGACUGAUGAGCAGAACCGAGUGAGCCGGUAAUUGCGGCAUUCAGGAAGCAGAACCAGAAGACCUGUGAGUUCAAGGCCAGAAAAAAGAAAGAAUAAAAGACUCUAAACCCAAAUUGGUGAAGAGCUGGUUACAGAAAGUGUGACGGCGAGACAACUACCCAGCCAGAGCAAUAUCGGGCCACAGCAACAUGCAGCAACACGGGAGAAAGAAGCGAUACCGCAAGUUUCCUCUGUUUACUCUCUGUUACGAACAUAAAUGAUAGCCGGGCAAGGUGCCGCACGCUUGUAAACCCAGCACUCUGGGAGGCAGAGGCAAGGUGGAUCUCUGUGAGUUUGAGGCCAGCUUGGUCUACAAAACGAGUCCAGGACAGCCAAGGCUACACAGAGCAAUCCUAUCUCAAAAAAAAAAAAAAAAAAAAAAAAAAAAAUAUAUAUAUAUAUAUAUAUAUAUAUUAUACACACACACACAUAUAAUAUAAAGCCAGUCUAGGUUAUAUAGUUAAGUUCCAGGCUAUCCAGACCUGCAUAGUCUCAAUAAGUAAGUAAAUAAAUAAACGGAAGUAAACAACUAGAAUUUACUUUUAGAGAUGUUUAUAAGGAAGAGCAGACAAGACAGAACUGAAAUUCAAGGCACUUGCCCCGGACUCGAACUUGUGAGACCUUGAUUUCGAUCCCCAGUACCACAAAGAAGAGGGCGCAACUGGAGGCACAGGCCGUCAAUUCCAGCUUCUGGAGAGGAGGAGGCAGGUGGGCCGCAAGUUCAAAGCCUGCUGGGCCAUCUAGUGACACUUUGUUUCAUAUUAAAAUGCAAAAGAGCUGGUAGGUCUUUAAUCCCAGGCAGAGGCAGGUGGAUCUCUGUGACCAGGCCAGCCUGGUCUACAAAGAGCAAGGGAUAGCCAAGGCAACAUAGAGAGACCCUGUCUCAAAGCCUCCACCCCGCCCCCACACCAAAAUAAAAUAAAAUAAAAUAAAAUAAAAUAAAAUAAAAGGAUAUAGGAGCACUUGCCUGGCAUAUGUGAGAUCCUCAGGACCAGAAAGAAAAAUCAAGGGAAUAAUGAAAGUUAGGGUAGAGUCCCUUCUAGGAGGAGCUGGUGGGGAGAGCACUUUGAGCUUGGGCUCCUCUUUCCUGUCUUCUUCUUUAGCAGUGCCCUGCUCCCAGCCCUAGCGUUUCGUGUCUUGACCUGGAUAGGGAUUUCGCAGGUGUUAACGUCACAGUUGUCUCUAACUGCACAGACACACGUUGUGUACGCUGUUUUGUGAACGGUGUCCCAUAACCUGCAGAUGAACAGCUGAGCGUGGUGGCCUUGCUGCUUGUUUUUGCUUAGCUUGUCAUUACCUGGGAAUCAAACCCGUGGCCUCGUUGCAGUUGCAGUCCUUGCUGCUUAUGACACCGAGGGUCACUUGGGCCCAGGACUUUGGGAUUAACCAUAACAAGACACUAUCUCAAGAAAAUAAGUUUAAAGUUUUUUUUUUUUUUACACACAUGUAGUGUGUGUGCAUUGGUGUGGGGAGGGGAUGUGCACGUGUGCCGGGCACAUGUGUGGAGAGGAGAGGACGACCGGUGAGAAUUAGUUUUCUCCCGCCACCAUGUGGAUCCCGGGGGUCAAAGUUGGUGGCAAGCGCCUUUACCACGGCGCUGUCUCACUCGCCCUAAUCAGGAGUUGGAAAUGCUGAAAGUUAAAAAUGCAUUUAAGAGGGCCAUCAGGCAGGCUCAGCAGCCAAGGGCACUGCCCAAACCAGGUAACCUGAGUUCACCCUGGGAACCCACACUGUAGAAGAGAAUGGACUCUCAGCCUUGUCCUCUGACCUCCACACCUGCGCUAUGGCACACACACCUGUCCUAUCGCACACAUGAUACACACACAGUAUGUUUUCAUUGAAAAGCGUAUGCAUGCCGGGCUGUGGUGGCGCACAUCUUUAAUCUCGGCUCUCUGGAAGCAGAGUGUUGUUAUAAAUGAAAAUGAAAGUCCCAAGGGUUCUAUUUUACCAAGAAGGACUCUGGAGCCAGAUGCUGGGGUGAAAACCUGCUAGCUCGGAGAAGCAGAGAAAGUAACCAGCUGACCUUCCUUCUCAGCUCAGGUCUGGAUAAAAAAAACCCAAAAGGCUCACUAGCUCAGCUGUCAUCCCUGGAGGAAAAGGCCAAAAAACCUAAGGCCAAAGGCUUUCUAGCUCAAAGUCCCAAAAGCCAGGAAACUGAGGAGCUGAAGCCGAAGCAAAAGCCAGAGCUUAAGCUAAAAGCCUUUUCUACUUCUCCGAGCUGUCUUAAACACCCCUCAACUCAAAGUCCCUUCUACUCUUUAAUCCCUGUCAGCUGAUUUCUUGCUCAGCUUCUUGACCUAGGGUUAACUUUUUUAAGUCCUAUGUACAGAGAGCUCCUGGAUUAAAGGUGUGUGAGAGAGAGCUGAGUGAACCACACCAUAAUCACCUGUUUACAAUAAAUGGAAAGUUCUUGAAUUAAAGGUGCGUGAUAAGGCUGAUAUCAAACCAAGCAAGAAACAGGGCUUUGCAGUUCACAGUUUGGGGGUUCAAAAUGGGAUAAAAUAUCCUGCAACAGUAGAGGCAGGCUGAUCACUGAGACUGAGGCCAGCCUGGUCUAGAGAGUGAGUUCCAAGACAGCCAGGGCUACACAGAGAAACUCAGUAUGGGGGGGCGGGAUGCAUUUAAAUGGCUGGAGAGAUAGCUUAACAGUUAAGAGUAUGUAUUGCUCUUGCAGAGGCUGAGAGCUCAGGCCUCAGCACCCACAUCAGGUGGCUGACAAGCACCUGUAACUCAGCUCUAGAAGAGCCGGCCCCCACUUCUGAAGACUGAGGGAGCCUGCAUUCACGUGCACAUCACUCCUACACGUAUGCACGUAACUCGGAGUAACACAGAUAAACCCUUUCAAAAGGCAUUUCGUGUAUUUAAGCUGUUUCCCAUCCUAGCUCAGCAACAGCAUUCACAGUCAGCUGAUGGGUGGAAGCUGAACCAGCCAGGGCAUAGGGCAGGA